rnacentral:lncRNA from 1 species
UUAAAGCCUGGUGCCCUAAGCCUUUAUUGGUUGGGAGUCAUCGAUCCUCUGCUUGUUACAUGGGUGAAUUGGUUAAGUUUAGUAAGUGAAAAGAAUUGUGAAUAAGAGGUGUGUUCCUAGCCUAUCAAGAGAUGGUUAAUUUUGCUAAGCUUAAAGAAAGACUUAGGUUGGGGGGAGAUGAUAGUUAUCCAUACUAUACUCAGAAGCUAAUCACAUUAACACUUAGCUUUUAGUGGAAGAAUUUGAUUUGGAUCUUUUGAGAGUGGA